AAAUUGAAGAGUUUGAUCAUGGCUCAGAUUGAACGCUGGCGGCAGGCCUAACACAUGCAAGUCGAACGGUAACAGGAAACAGCUUGCUGUUUCGCUGACGAGUGGCGGACGGGUGAGUAAUGUCUGGGAAACUGCCCGAUGGAGGGGGAUAACUACUGGAAACGGUAGCUAAUACCGCAUAACGUCGCAAGACCAAAGAGGGGGACCUUCGGGCCUCUUGCCAUCGGAUGUGC
rnacentral:rRNA from 1 species